UUGAAGGCGCAGUAGUGAAUACAUAAGGGUAAACUGUAACUACACCCUUUCCCUCCCCUUUCCACCAUUCCUUAUUACCAUUUUCAUCACUACCUGUCUGACAAUGAAAUUAUCAGAUACUUUGCAGCUGUGCAAAGCUAGUGACAGAACAGCUGCACAGGUGUUUGUGCUUCAAGGAGUUACUCUUCUGAAGAGGUAAGAAAGUGACCAAUAAAUCAUAAUCCCUACAAGCAUAUUCUGCUUCAACCUUUUGCUUUGACCAGCUGUGGCUGUACCUAAACCCAUGUUCCACCCUAAUGUGUCCUAGGUUGAUACACACUUUCCUGCACACCACCCAAAGGAAGCUGAAUGAGAGUAACACACAUCCC